rnacentral:rRNA from 1 species
GACGAACGCUGGCGGCGUGCUUAACACAUGCAAGUCGAGCGGAGCGGCGAACGGGUGAGUAACGCGUGAGUAACUGCCCCCCUCUCUGGGAUAACAGUUGGAAACGGCUGCUAAUACCGGAUAGUGGGGGAUGACUCGCGUCCUCUCAGCUUGGUGGUGGGGUAGUGGCCUAACAAGGCGACGACGGGUAGCCGGCCUGAGAGGGCGACCGGCCACAUUGGGCUGAGAUAGGUACCAAACUCCAACGGGAGGCAGUAGGGGGGAAUAUUGCACAAUGGGGGAAACCCGGAUGCAGAAACGCCGCGUGCGGGAUGCCGGGCUUCGGGUUGUAAACCGCUUGCAGCCAUGACGCGGUAGUGGCAGAAGAAGCACCGGCUAACUACGUGCCAGCAGCCGCGGUAAUUC